rnacentral:tRNA from 1 species
GCCGGGAUAGCUCAGUUGGUAGAGCAGAGGACUGAAAAUCCUCGUGUCCGCAGUUCAAUUCUGCGUCCUGGCA